AAAACUUCAGAAACAAUAGUUGACAACUUCAUUAGUUGCUGCCUUCAAAGUUAUUAAUACUCGAUCAUACACCAGAAACAAACUUGCAAUGCAGGAAUGUCAUUUAUGUGCCUCGACUAUGUAUCUCACUUCUAUUUAAACGCAACAAUCAUGUUGGACAGCAUGGGUUCCAUCGAAAACUCAGCCAAUUUAUCAGCCAGUUUAGUUAAGUUACCCUCCACUUUGAGGGCACCGAGCGCAAACAACAGCUCCACGACUUUAAGUAGAUCUUCAGUUGGUGUACUCUCCAUGAAGUAAAAUUUCAUCAACU